rnacentral:lncRNA from 1 species
CACGACUUCCGCCGAAGUCGGUCCCUCUCCUUGUUCGGGCGGCGUUCGGCGGUAUGCUGCUUGUGUAUUCAUUCCCAUAUCAGCUAAAAAUAGAACGUCAUUUUUUGGUCUCUGCAAGAACAGUUCUCCUUCACCUCCUCUUUACUAAUUGAAGGCUCUCCAGACCCCUCCUCUCUGUCAGUGAGUGAGGAGGUGAAGGUUAGGGAAGUGGUUUCUGCCUCCUGCUCUGUGUUUCACUCCUGCCCAUCUGAACGCCCGCUCCUCACCUGGAGCCAUUACAGAGCACCCAGUGUCCAAUCACAGCAGCUGACCAACGGCCAGUGGGAAGUGACAUUCCCUGACCUUUACCCCCACCCUCACCGAUAACAACCAUCCUCUGGUCUGCACAGCAGCGUUCAGGGGAGGGAAGACAGCGAACCGGUCCAAAACGCUCAAUGUCAAAUAUACACACAGGACCCUUACAGACCUGGUGUUGUUCUACUCAUAUCUGCUGUCCUGCGCCUGACUCUACACCAGCUACACACAGGACCCUUACAGCGAUUCGUAUUGACGUGACUCGACACUGUCCUGACUCAAAGCCUGCCUGCCGUCCUGUGCCUUUGUGCCUACUCUGGAUUACCGGCCUCUGCUUGACCUAACCCUGGGCCUGCCUGCCAUCCUGUGCCUUGGCCCCACUACUCUGGAUUACCGACCCCUGCCUGCCUUGAGCUGUCGUUUGCCUGCCCC